GAUGAACGCUAGCGGGAGGCCUAACACAUGCAAGCCGAGCGGUAGAGAUCUUUCGGGAUCUUGAGAGCGGCGUACGGGUGCGGAACACGUGUGCAACCUGCCUUUAUCAGGGGGAUAGCCUUUCGAAAGGAAGAUUAAUACCCCAUAAUAUAUCGAGUGGCAUCACUUGAUAUUGAAAACUCCGGUGGAUAGAGAUGGGCACGCGCAAGAUUAGAUAGUUGGUGAGGUAACGGCUCACCAAGUCUGCGAUCUUUAGGGGGCCUGAGAGGGUGAUCCCCCACACUGGUACUGAGACACGGACCAGACUCCUACGGGAGGCAGCAGUGAGGAAUAUUGGACAAUGGGUGCGAGCCUGAUCCAGCCAUCCCGCGUGAAGGAUGACGGCCCUAUGGGUUGUAAACUUCUUUUGUAUAGGGAUAAACCUACCCUCGUGAGGGUAGCUGAAGGUACUAUACGAAUAAGCACCGGCUAACUCCGUGCCAGCAGCCGCGGUAAUACGGAGGGUGCAAGCGUUAUCCGGAUUUAUUGGGUUUAAAGGGUCCGUAGGCGGAUCUGUAAGUCAGUGGUGAAAUCUCACAGCUUAACUGUGAAACUGCCAUUGAUACUGCAGGUCUUGAGUGUUGUUGAAGUAGCUGGAAUAAGUAGUGUAGCGGUGAAAUGCAUAGAUAUUACUUAGAACACCAAUUGCGAAGGCAGGUUACUAAGCAACAACUGACGCUGAUGGACGAAAGCGUGGGGAGCGAACAGGAUUAGAUACCCUGGUAGUCCACGCCGUAAACGAUGCUAACUCGUUUUUGGUAUUUCGGUAUCAGAGACUAAGCGAAAGUGAUAAGUUAGCCACCUGGGGAGUACGAACGCAAGUUUGAAACUCAAAGGAAUUGACGGGGGCCCGCACAAGCGGUGGAUUAUGUGGUUUAAUUCGAUGAUACGCGAGGAACCUUACCAAGGCUUAAAUGGGAAAUGACAGGCUUAGAAAUAGGCUUUUCUUCGGACAUUUUUCAAGGUGCUGCAUGGUUGUCGUCAGCUCGUGCCGUGAGGUGUUAGGUUAAGUCCUGCAACGAGCGCAACCCCUGUCACUAGUUGCCAUCAUUAAGUUGGGGACUCUAGUGAGACUGCCUACGCAAGUAGAGAGGAAGGUGGGGAUGACGUCAAAUCAUCACGGCCCUUACGCCUUGGGCCACACACGUAAUACAAUGGCCGGUACAGAGGGCAGCUACACAGCGAUGUGAUGCAAAUCUCGAAAGCCGGUCUCAGUUCGGAUUGGAGUCUGCAACUCGACUCUAUGAAGCUGGAAUCGCUAGUAAUCGCGCAUCAGCCAUGGCGCGGUGAAUACGUUCCCGGGCCUUGUACACACCGCCCGUCAA
rnacentral:rRNA from 2 species